rnacentral:rRNA from 1 species
UACGGGAGGUAGCAGGGGGGAAUAUUGCACAAUGGGCGAAAGCCUGAUGCAGCUAUGCCGCGUGUAUGAAGAAGGCCUUAGGGUUGUAAAGUACUUUCAUCGGGGAGGAAAAAACAAAACUAAUAAUUUUAUUUCUUGACGUUACCCGAAAAAGAAGCACCGGCUAACUCCGUGCCAGCAGCCGCGGUAAUACGGAGGGUGCUAGCGUUAAUCAGAAUUACUGGGCGUAAAGAGCACGUAGGUGGUUUUUUUAAGUCAGAUGUGAAAUCCCUGGGCUUAACCUGGAACUGCAUUUUGAAACUGAAAUACUAGAGUAUCGUAGAGGGAGGUAGAAUUCUAGGUGUAGCGGUGAAAUGCGUAGAUAUCUGGAGGAAUACCUGUGGCGAAAGCGGCCUCCUAAACGAAUACUGACACUGAGGGUGCGAAAGCGUGGGGAGCGAAACAGGGAUUAGAUACC